CACGUAGUUAGCCGGGGCUUUCUGGUAAAGUACCGUCAUCCUAGCAUCAUUUCCUAUACUAGGUAUUCCUCCUUUACAACAGAGUUUUACAACCCAUAGGGCCUUCAUCACUCACGCGGCAUUGCUCGUUCAGGGUUUCCCCCAUUGACGAAUAUUCCUAACUGCUGUCUCCCGUAGGAGUCUGGGCCGUGUCUCAGUCCCAGUGUGUCCGAUCAGCCUCUCAGCUCGGAUAUGCAUCGUUGCCUUGGUAGGCCAUUACCCCACAACUAGCUAAUACAACGCAAGCCCAUCUUAAAGUGAAGCAAAUGCUCCUUUUAAACGUAUCUAGUUAUCUAAUUACGUAUCAUCCGGUAUUAGCGAUCAUUUCUAACCGUUAUCCCAGUCUCUAAGGUAGUUACCCAGUGUUACUCACCCGUCUGCCACUAAGUAGCAAACCCUAAUUCCCAAUUUUGUGACAAGCACUCCAUCUUCAUUGGACUUACUUCGUUACGACUUUGCAUGUCUUUAGGCUAGU
rnacentral:rRNA from 1 species